GACGAACCGUGCGAACGUUAUUCGGAAUCAUUGGGCUUAAAGGGCGCGUAGGCGGCGGCGUAAGUUGGAAGUGAAAUCCCAUCGGCUCAACCGUGGAAUUGCUCCCAGUACUGCGUCGCUCGAGGGGGAUAGGGGUCUGCGGAACUACCGGUGGAGCGGUGAAAUGUGUAGAUAUCGGUGGGAACGCCAGUGGCGAAAGCGGCAGACUUGACCCUUCCUGACGCUGAGGCGCGAAAGCUAGGGGAGCAAACAGG
rnacentral:rRNA from 1 species